rnacentral:rRNA from 1 species
GACGAACGCUGGCGGCGUGCCUAAUACAUGCAAGUUGAGCGCUGAAGGUUGGUACUUGUACCGACUGGAUGAGCAGCGAACGGGUGAGUAACGCGUGGGGAAUCUGCCUUUGAGCGGGGGACAACAUUUGGAAACGAAUGCUAAUACCGCAUAAAAACUUUAAACACAAGUUUUAAGUUUGAAAGAUGCAAUUGCAUCACUCAAAGAUGAUCCCGCGUUGUAUUAGCUAGUUGGUGAGGUAAAGGCUCACCAAGGCGAUGAUACAUAGCCGACCUGAGAGGGUGAUCGGCCACAUUGGGACUGAGACACGGCCCAAACUCCUACGGGAGGCAGCAGUAGGGAAUCUUCGGCAAUGGACGAAAGUCUGACCGAGCAACGCCGCGUGAGUGAAGAAGGUUGUCGGAUCGUAAAACUCUGUUGGUAGAGAAGAACGUUGGUGAGAGUGGAAAGCUCAUCAAGUGACGGUAACUACACAGAAAGAGACGGCUAACUACGUG